rnacentral:lncRNA from 1 species
AAACAAAAGAUGACUAAGACGGAAUCAGCCUCCCACUUGCUUACUCCAGAUGAGACCCUGCCUCAGGGUUCCUACCUGACCCAGGUGUGAGCUCAGUCUGUCUGAGGGUUUUGCUGAGGCAGCUGGGACAGAUGGUGCUGCUGUAGCCAUCUUGUGCUUAAGAGGAAAAGCCUGUCGAAGAAUGGAGCCCGCUUGAAGGCUAUGGAGAAGACAGGCACAGAGUGCGCUCCAGCACAGGUGUGGCUCAGCAUGGGCAGCACAGGGUAUGUCGGGGAUGCACCAUCUGUGCCAAUGCGACAGCUGCCAGCUAUCAGGAAAUUAACCAGCCCAUCACAACCAGCUGUGCAGCAGCCGCAGCAUGGGGCACGAUGCCCCCUUUCUGGCAGGGUCAUUGGUGCAGCUGCAUGGAGGACCUAUGAGGCUGGGUAUGAGCUGUCUAUGCACUUGAGGCACACAAGAGUUGCUGUUUCCUGCUGCUCCAAUAAAAAAGUGUCUUCCUGGGGAUUUGGAGAAGAAGCAAAAGCAAAUCAGACCCCAACUCUCAGGCACUCAGGAGCCUCAUUAGUGUGUGUAGUGCUCCGGUGACAGAUUGGCUUCCUCCUGCGCAGCCUCAGCACAGAGCCUGUCUGCUGACCAAACUCAACACUGCUGUGAGUGUCUCCCCAAAUGCGUGUACCAAAACCCUCACCCUACAAGAUGAUGCGGCAGGAGGCGGGCACCCUGGAGAGGGUGGGACCUCAGGAAGGGGCAAGUCCCCUUAUAAAAGAGGCCGAGGGAGAACCUUGUCCCUUCUGCCAUGAGAGGACACAGUGCAAAGGCUCCAUCUGGGAGCCAGAAGCAGCCAUCAGCAGACAUGGAGCCUCCAGAGACUUGAGAGACAGAUUCCUGCUGCUCAUAAACCACCAGUCUCUGUCCUAGUCCUCUGCCGAAGCCGCCUAAGUGCACUGAGUCGCUAGGAAGAGGUGACAGUCUAAGGGAUCUUUUGCCUUUUCCUCCCCUAGUGAUUGGGAGGUGGCUGUGCCUGUCCUCACCUGCCUGGUCCUGGCUGUGGGUCCCUUGCGUUUGUGGAGGGGGUG